UAGGGAAUCUUCCGCAAUGGGCGAAAGCCUGACGGAGCAACGCCGCGUGAGUGAUGAAGGUCUUCGGAUCGUAAAACUCUGUUAUUAGGGAAGAACAAAUGUGUAAGUAACUGUGCACGUCUUGACGGUACCUAAUCAGAAAGCCACGGCUAACUACGUGCCAGCAGCCGCGGUAAUACGUAGGUGGCAAGCGUUAUCCGGAAUUAUUGGGCGUAAAGCGCGCGUAGGCGGUUUCUUAAGUCUGAUGUGAAAGCCCACGGCUCAACCGUGGAGGGUCAUUGGAAACUGGGAAACUUGAGUGCAGAAGAGGAAAGUGGAAUUCCAUGUGUAGCGGUGAAAUGCGCAGAGAUAUGGAGGAACACCAGUGGCGAAGGCGACUUUCUGGUCUGUAACUGACGCUGAUGUGCGAAAGGCGUGGGGGAUCAAACAGGAUUAGAUACCC
rnacentral:rRNA from 1 species